rnacentral:rRNA from 1 species
AUUGAACGCUGGCGGCAGGCCUAACACAUGCAAGUCGAGCGGAGCGGCGGACGGGUGAGUAAUGCAUAGGAAUCUUCCUGGUUGCGGGGGAUAACGUCCGGAAACGGGCGCUAAUACCACAUACUAUCAGAUGAGCCUAGGUCGGAUUAGCUAGUUGGGGGGGUAAAGGCCUACCAAAGCGACGAUCCGUAACUGGUCUGAGAGGAUGAUAAGUCACACUGGAACUGGGACACGGUGCAGACUCCUACGGGAGGCAGCAGUGGGGAAUAUUGGACAAGGGGCGAAAGCCUAAUCCAGCCAUGCCGCGUGUGUGAAGAAGGUCUUCGGAUUGUAAAGCACUUUAAGUUGGGAGGCGGUACCAACAGAAUAAGCACCGGCUAACUUCGUGCCAGCAGCCGCGGUAAUUC